GAAAAUAUGGAGAGUGAUAAUGGUGAAGCAGAAGUGGAAGUUAGUGGAAGUAAAGAAGGGUAUGAAUAAGUCUCCUCCAGUGAAUUAGGAGAUUGAAGUUGUGGUUUCAUGAAGUUGUUUACGUGUUUCUUAUUGCCAUAUGGGAUGGAUAGUGGCUCUUAUUACCCUUUUAUUGGGAUGGUUCCAUUUUUUAAUUUUUU
rnacentral:lncRNA from 1 species